GACGAACCGUGCGAACGUUAUUCGGAAUCACUGGGCUUAAAGCGCGUGUAGGCGGGCCGGCACGUCGGCCGCUGAAAUCCCCCGGCUCAACCGGGGAAGCGGCGCCGAUACGACCGGCCUGGAGGGACGUAGGGGGGGCUGGAACUUCCGGUGGAGCGGUGAAAUGCGUUGAGAUCGGAAGGAACGCCCGUGGCGAAAGCGAGCCCCUGGACGUCUACUGACGCUGAGACGCGAAAGCCAGGGGAGCGGAACGGGG
rnacentral:rRNA from 1 species